AUGCGACUAGAUCCGCUGCUCACGGCUACCCCUGCCCUGGCAAGGGUUUCGGCCGUCGGCUCCGGCGCCGGUGGCCAGGUCGUCCUCCUCUGGUACUCCUCUCUUCCGACGUGCAGGGAGGAACAGGCUGCGUAUGAACUCCAUCGUGACGCUACUGACGGUGAUAUCAAUGGACGAGAUGUGCCUCGGCGUCGACGAGCAUGCACUGAGGCGGGAAGUGGAAAAGGAAUACAUCGCCAAGCGAACUCAAUGGUACGAUGCUGGAGGUGGAAGACGUGGCCAACAUGGCGCUGUAUGUCGAGUCGGACGAGGCUAGGUCAGCAUCAAGGCUAUGAAGCGAAAGAUCAGACAAAGGUUUUUGCCAUGUUUGUCCUUCAGCUUAGUAACUAUUCAAAAGAUAUAUGGCUGAUUAUAUGGUUGCGUGGCAAGAAUACUGCAAUGAUGAUGAUGGUGUUCUACUGUUCUGGUUCAUGA
rnacentral:rRNA from 1 species